UACAGAGGGCGCGAGCGUUGUCCGGAAUCACUGGGCGUAAAGGGCGCGUAGGUGGCCACUAUAAGGCCGCGGUGAAAGUUCGGGGCUCAACCCUGAAUCUGCCGCGGCGACUGUAGGGCUUGGGCAUCGUAGAGGCAGAUGGAAUUCCGGGUGUAGCGGUGGAAUGCGUAGAGAUCCGGAAGAACACCGGUGGCGAAGGCAGUCCCCUGGGCCUGUACUGACGCUCAUGCACGAAAGCGUGGGGAGCAAACAGG
rnacentral:rRNA from 1 species